GACGAACGCUGGCGGCGUGCUUAACACAUGCAAGUCGAGCGGUAAGGCCCUUUCGGGGGUACACGAGCGGCGAACGGGUGAGUAACACGUGGGUGACCUGCCCUCAGCUCUGGGAUAAGCCUGGGAAACUGGGUCUAAUACUGGAUAUGACUCCACGGUGCAUGUCGUGGGGUGGAAAGCCUUGUGCGGCUGAGGAUGGGCCCGCGGCCUAUCAGCUUGUUGGUGGGGUGANGGCCUACCAAGGCGACGACGGGUAGCCGGCCUGAGAGGGCGACCGGCCACACUGGGACUGAGACACGGCCCAGACUCCUACGGGAGGCAGCAGUGGGGAACCUUGCGCAAUGGGCGAAAGCCUGACGCAGCGACGCCGCGUGAGGGAUGACGGCCU
rnacentral:rRNA from 1 species